rnacentral:piRNA from 1 species
UACUGGUCUUUUAUAACCCAAUUCUUCAGGGU